rnacentral:rRNA from 1 species
AUGGCAGAACAGGAAACCCCUGACACUGUGGUGGAACCAUCUUUCUGUGGUUCUUACACCGAAUCUGAGCCGACGUGCAUGAUGCAUCAUCAAAGGCCGAAGAAGAUGGUGGCUUUUGAAGGUUCUUUGACUGGCAGGCGUUUCCUGGGUUGUCCUAUGCAGCAGGAUGAAGGUGUGAACUGUGGGGUUGUGGAGUGGGUGGAUGGUCCUUGGCCAGAGAUUCUACAAAGGUGCCUAACCAGGAUUUGGGACAUGUAUCAUGAGCAGAACUUGGGCAGGGUGAAUGACAAACAAGCCCAUGAGAAAGAGGUGGCCAAGCUACAGAAGGAAAUUGAUUUCCUGUCAAACAACUACAGCUAG